rnacentral:ncRNA from 2 species
AAUAUCAACUCGCUCCGAGCCGGAGCGGCUAAAUCGGCAGGCCGCCAUGCCCUCCGGCCGAUAGGGCCGGGCCGGAAACAGCCCCGCCUUCCAUCUUUGAAAAGGAGCCGAAAUGACACGCUCA